GUAAUAUGAGCUGGUGAUAGAAAUGUAAUGUGCCAUCUGGUUUGCAUUUAUCUCUGUGUAGUGGUAAAGACAGGAAGUACCAUAAAUUAAUGUACACAGAGUUUGAGGCCAAAUUAAGGGUAAAGCAUUUCUUCUUUGUAUAUUUCCAUUAUAACUUAUAACAUCAAAGAUAAAAAAAAAUAUAUGUAUAAUUAUUUUUUUAUUAUAAUAUAUAACAAAUAUUCAAGAUUUAGGCAAUUGAUAUUUAUAAUCAGGGGCAAAUUUCAAAGGGAUCACACUGUCACAAUACCCUAAGCAACCUUGAUCAACAUAUUCAAAAUUUGAACUGGACAUGAACAUGCAUACAACAAACAAAGAUGUCUUCUAUCAUGAACAAAGUAAUAUGAAUUUUACAAUGGAUUUAGAUCCAAAAGUUCCAAUUAAUUCUAUUGACACUGGAUAGUGCAUAUGAUAGCCUUCAGUUGACAUGACUCUUGGAUUUAGGAAGAUUGGUGUUUGCACAUAAUUUGGAUAACAUCUUUUGUAUUUGAAAUCAGAAAAUUCAACUUUAAAGGACAGUGAGUACAGAGAAACAGAACUAAAGGAUACACAGAUAUGUAACACAACAACCUAUAGAGGACAGAGAAAAUUUUGUUUUAUUAUUAAAUCAUACUUUUUUAAA